CAUUUAGAGCCAUUUAGUAUUCUGUCCCUAAUGCUCUUUCUUUUCACUUAUAGACGCUGUACUCCGUCCUGAAGGACUUCAGGGGGGAACAUACGGACUUUGAGGCCCUCGCCUCUUAUUACGAACAUCACUACCGGGUCGAAUUCGGCGAGAACAUCGUCCUAAAGCACUUCCUUCUUACAUGCGAAGUGGACCCGAGGAUGAGGGCCAAGGAGAACAUUAUCCUGUACUGGAAAAUGCUCAA